UACGGGGGGGGCAAGCGUUGUUCGGAAUUACUGGGCGUAAAGGGCUCGUAGGCGGCCAACUAAGUCAGACGUGAAAUCCCUCGGCUUAACCGGGGAACUGCAUCUGAUACUGGAUGGCUUGAGUUCGGGAGAGGGAUGCGGAAUUCCAGGUGUAGCGGUGAAAUGCGUAGAUAUUCGCAAGAACACCAGUGGCGAAGGCGGCUUACUGGUCCGGUUCUGACGCUGAGGCGCGAAAGCGUGGGAGCAAACAGG
rnacentral:rRNA from 1 species